GCACAUAUGGCUGAGUCAGGUCAAAAGCAACGGUCUGCAAAACCGUACAACCAUUGGUUCGAAUCCAAUUAUGUGCU
rnacentral:tRNA from 1 species